rnacentral:rRNA from 1 species
AUUGAACGCUGGCGGCAUGCCUUACACAUGCAAGUCGAACGGCAGCGCGGGAGCAAUCCUGGCGGCGAGUGGCGAACGGGUGAGAAAUACAUCGGAACGUGCCCAAUCGUGGGGGAUAACGCAGCGAAAGCUGUGCUAAUACCGCAUACGAUCUACGGAUGAAAGCAGGGGAUCGCAAGACCUUGCGCGAAUGGAGCGGC